CAAUAGCGUAUAUUAAAGUUGUUGCAGUUAAAAAGCUCGUAGUUGGAUUUCGGGGUGGCCUGCCUGGUCCACCGCAAGGUGAGUACUGGUCAGCCGCCCUUCCUCUCGAAAGCCCCGACUGCUCUUCAUUGCAGUGGUCGGGUAGUUCGGGACGUUUACUUUGAAAAAAUUAGAGUGUUCAAGGCAGGCCGUCGCCUGAAUACAUUAGCAUGGAAUAAUGGAAGAGGACCUCGGUCCUAUUUUGUUGGUUUCUAGGGCCGAAGUAAUGAUUAAGAGGGACAGUUGGGGGCAUUCGUAUUUCAUUGUCAGAGGUGAAAUUCUUGGAUUUAUGAAAGACGAACUACUGCGAAAGCAUUUGCCAAGGAUGUUUUCAUUAA
rnacentral:rRNA from 1 species